rnacentral:lncRNA from 1 species
UUCUGGAGGAAUCGCCCAAGAAUCUCUGUCCCUCCAGAACAGCUAGCUCUGCGAUGAGUAAACAGCUCUCCCUUCUACAGACCUCAGCCCGGUUUUCAAACUGCUGUUUUCAUGAUGUAUCUCCUUGGGCUGUUUGUUGUGCUGGCUCUUUAAGGGCAAGAACUCAUUUCCCCUCCCUGUUCUCCAGAGCUGAACCAGCUGAUUUUUAAAAUUCAAGGUUUUAAGUCCCACUGACUGUAAGAACUCCUGAUAUUCAGCCCCUCUGGUUGUCAAAGCCAAAUGUUGCAGGGAUCUGCCUUCCCGGCCUAGGGGUCUGUUUCUCUCCCCUCUUAGCACCUGCAGGUCCCUCCCUCCCACAGAGAGCCCCGCAGGUGCGUCGGCUCCCCACUGAGUCCCUUCCUUGCAGCCUCUUGUCUACAUUUAGCUGCGCAGUUUGUUUUGCCGUCUUCAGUUUGUUUUCUGGCUUAUUUAUGCAGCUGUGAGUCUUACCUGGUUGUUUCCCGGGGAGGAGGCGAGCAUGGGGUCCUCCUCAUCUGCCAUUUCCCCAGAGAUCUGGCUUUGAGGUAGAUUUUAAAGACGGUGCCUUACGUCUCACAAAAGCUCUUCACCCUUUCCCCAGAAAUAAUGUUCACCUAUUUAUACAGACAGAGUUUUGCAUAAGAUAUCUGGGUUUCUUGAAGCCGUGGGCUCAGGUUCGGAAAUCAGUUUGCAAGAUUUAAGUAUGAAAAUUAUCCAAGACCACAUUCUCCAAGGAGCUCUCUCAUGCCUACUCGGAUCAUACCAUUUCAUGAUUCCAAACACUAGCUUUAAUUCUGAUAAGUAGUUGUGAGACUGUUAGGAGCUUUUCUAUUAUUUGAUGUUAAGAAAUGUGUAUGACUGCAUCCAAAAUUCUCACUUUUCGAGAGAAGAGUUGGGAUAUUUUAUAUUCAUAAUUAGUUCCUACAGGUUCUCUUGUAAUCCUCAGUACAGUGAACGCUUACCUCUCAUAAUCAGUAACUCACAUUUCUUCUCCAUAACUAAAUGCUAGUAACUCUGGUUAUGGAAGUUUGGGGAAUGACACUUUGAGUUUGAAGUUCCCUGAUCCGUUACAUAAAUUCAGUUGUUCUAACCUAAUGUAUUUAUACUAUGGAAGACUAACUUGAGAACCUAGACUGACCAAUCCAUAGGUCUGAUCUAUUUUUCCACUUAAGAUCUUAGAAUAUACCAUGAUUAAGUACCUUUGAUUUUGACUGUUGGGACUCUAAACUAGGAACAUCCCACAAUGGGAAUUGCGACCUAGAUUUUAUUUAUUUAUUUAUUUAUUUAUUUAUUUAUUUAUUUAUUUAUCUAUCUAUCUAUCUAUCUAUCAGAAAGAGAGAGCAAGAGCAGGGGGAGAAAUAGACUCCCCACGGAGCAGGAAGCCCAACUCAGGGCUGGAUCCCAGGAUCCUGGGAUCAUGACUUGAGCUGAAGAUAGACACCCAACCAACUGAGCCAACCAGGCACCCUGCAACCCAGAUAGUUUUUAAUCUUUCUUUCAUUUGGAAUGGAACAUACCAAUGAAUUCUUAGCAGCAUUUACUGGGGAAAAUAAUGGAAUUUUGAGGUCACUUAAAUCAAUAGCUGUCCAGGGCACCUGGGUGGCUCAGUGAUUGAGUGUCUACCUUCAGCACAGGUCAUGAUCCCAGGGACCUGGCAUCAAGUCCUGCAUCUGGCUCUCUGCAGCAAGCCUUCUUUUCCCUCUGCUUAUGUCCCUGUCUUUCUCUCUGUGUUUCUUCUGAAUAAAUAAAUAAAAUCUUUUUUAAAAAUCAAUCAAUCAGGGACGCCUGGGUGGCUCAGCGGUUUAGCGCCUGCCUUCAGCCCAGGAUUUGAUCCUGGAGUCCCGGGAUCGAGUCCCACAUCGGGCUCCCUGCAUGGAGUCUGCUUCUCCCUUUGCCUGUGUCUCUGCCUCUCUUUUGAUGUCUCUCAUGAAUAAAUAAAUAAAAUCUUUAGAAAAAAAUCAAUCAAUAGCUGUCCUUCCACCUCACCAUUAAAACAUAGGAAUUUUAACUCACACUGUCUACGUCAUUCCCUCCAAGUACUCAAUUUUGGGCAGCUGAGAUAUGGCACAGAGAUUUCUAACUGCAUUAUGUUCCAAGAAAAUGUCUAACACAAAAAUGCUUACCAAGAUGUCAGAGGAAGAUGACUGAUUUAAGUGAUGUUUUCUGGGGUGCUGGGUGGCUCAGUUGGUUGAGCAUCCAAUGUUUGGCCUUGAGUCAUAAUCUCAGGGUCGUGGAAUCAAGCCCCACAUCGGACUCCACACUCAGCUCUAAAAUAAAUAAACAAAUCUUUGAAAAAAAUUUAAAAAUAAAUGAUGUUUUCUGGAUUAGAGUCUUCAGUCACAUCAGAGGUGGUCAGUCAUACUGUGCAUGCAUGCGUGUGUGUGUUGAGGGGGUGUGGUGAUUUCAAUUAAAUGAAUAACAUCAAAUUAAUUUUCAAUGCACAGCCUAUUAGAGCCAUCAUAUUUCGUUGAUUCUUCAUUAAGAUAGCUCAGAACAGAGAUGAUACUACUACAAAAUACCAAAUGAAUUUUCUUGUAAGUAGAUUUUUCCUAAGCAAAGUUGCAUUGUGCUAAAAUACAUUUAUACAUAAGGAGAGCAUUUAGAAGUCAAAGCUAUUUUUAAAAAUGUGCAUUCUCAGUUUGAGCUGAACUGUUUAAAAAAAAAAAAA